GGCUCAGGAUGAACGCUAGCGGCAGGCUUAAUACAUGCAAGUCGUGGGGCAGCAUGAGUAGCAAUACUUGAUGGCGACCGGCAAACGGGUGAGGAACACGUACACAACCUUCCUUCAAGCGGGGAAUAGCCCAGAGAAAUUUGGAUUAAUACCCCAUAAUAUAUUUGAUAAGGCAUCUUAUUAAUAUUAAAGCUUCGGCACUUGAUGAUGGGUGUGCGGCUGAUUAGAUAGUUGGCGGGGUAACGGCCCACCAAGUCUACGAUCAGUAGCUGAUGUGAGAGCAUGAUCAGCCACACGGGCACUGAGACACGGGCCCGACUCCUACGGGAGGCAGCAGUAAGGAAUAUUGGACAAUGGACGAAAGUCUGAUCCAGCCAUGCCGCGUGAAGGAUUAAGGUCCUCUGGAUUGUAAACUUCUUUUAUAUGGGACGAAAAAGGGCAUUCUUGUUCACUUGACGGUACCAUAUGAAUAGGCACCGGCUAAUUCCGUG
rnacentral:rRNA from 1 species